CUCUCUGCUUCGGCGAGUUUGGCUUUUUUAGAGCCUGCAUAUGAGUGAGAUCAUACAGAAUUCGUCUUUCUCUGUCUGACUUAUUUCACUUAGCAUAAUGCCCUCCAGAAUCCAUCCGUGUAGGCGCGAAUGGCAGGAUUUCCUCCUUUCUCAUGGCUGAAUAAUAUCCCAUUGUGUGUGUGUGUGUGUGUGUGUGUGUAUAAAUGUGUCACAUUUUCUUUCUCCACUCAUCCGUCCACGGACUCCAGUUGUUUCCACGUCUCGGCUGUUGUGCACAAUGCUGCAGUGCGCACGGGGCUGCAGACGUCUCUUCAAGAUCCUGAUUUCAUUUGCUUUGGAUAUACAAGGUGGGCCCAUCCUGCGUGUUAACGCUGUUCCGCUCCACUGAGAACAACAGGAUAAAUUCAUCUAGGCCAGUGUUGCACCCAGGCCACCUCAAAUACCAACCCAAGCAUCUUAUUUGAAAGUUUGAUAAAAAAAGAAACUCCCAGAUUGCUAAGUCAUAAGCAUGUUCCUUACCUGAUAACAGCCUGUCUGUUUGGGGAAAUCACUGAUCUUUUCCCAUGCUCUUUUAUUAAAAAAAGAAAAAAGUUAAGAAACAGUAUUCAGAAAUACCUAGUGAAGACCAGGUCGGCCAUUUAAUGCCAAACACAGAGCUGUGUCCCCAUCUACUCUCUGGUCUGCCUUGCUGGUUCCCUCCGGGAGGACGGACAGCGGUGGUUCUGACCAGACCUGCCCCAUCUCCUUCCCAGCCACUUCCCGCAGGGGACAUCGGUUUGCCAGCGAUGCGGAUCUGUUCAGGUCCGUGUGGCUCUUGGCCAGUAGCUUCAAUCGCAUUGCGGUCAAGGGGAGGUAUGUUCUGUGAAAUUCGCUGCAGACAGUGGCCUGGGGGCUGUAACUCCUCACAGCGUGUUUUCAGAGCUCUGUCAUUUUUCUAAAUGAACGUGGCCAAGCAGAUGAAAACAAAAACAGGGCGAAUUAGCAGUGUGCGCUGAAGCCGCCCCUCAGCUGCCGGGAGGGAGCAGGCUGUGUCCAGAGGAGACCUCUGUGUGGGCAGACCACGGAGUGGCACGGGAGGGCUCGUCCCCAGCCCCGGGGAGGCGGCUCGGCAUUUCCCCCAGGAGGCCCUGCGGUGGGCAGUCGAGGUGCUUUCUCUCAUUGAACUCUCUCAACAACCUCUCAGACCUGGGAGGCCCCUAUUCCGAUGACCCCACUGUAAAGACCAGUAAACCAACGUCAGAGCGCUCAGGGCCUUGCCCACGGCCACACGUCUCAGAGGACCUCAACGCGCACGAGCACAUUCAUUCAAGGCUCUGGAAAGUCCUGCAGGAGCAACAGACAGAAAAGCCCGCUCGUGUCUGGAAUCCGGCGUUUCCUCACGCUGGCGCCACGUCAGAGCUGCCGUGCAGAGGAACCGUGCACGGAGGCCAAGGUGGGCUCGGGUCCACGCACGGGGACAGUCGCCUGAAGACCCAUCAGAGGACCUGCACCCCUAAGCGUAAAACUCCCCUGAUCCCUGGAAAGCAUCUGGGACGGAGCGGCUGUUGUUUCUCAGUCCCUCACCAGUGGACAGAUGCUCAUGGAGCGUGUAGCACGUGCCGGAGCUGUUAUCAUUGCGUCACUCAUUUGAACUCACACAACCUGCAUAACACUGCGACGGGGUAGGUCCUGUGGCUUUUGCUUUGCAGAGGGGGAAACUGAGGCCCAGAGAUGCUAAGGCACUGGCCGAAGGUUUACACAUGGCUGGGCGGUGGGGGGCUGAGAUUCAGCCGCGAGCCUGUUGCCCUCCCCACUGGGCGGGGCCGCCUCCCUGGCUGACCACGCGCGUCCCUGGCUGCUGUGUCCCCAGUGGGCGUCGCAGGGCCAGGGCAGUGGACAUCGUUCCCCCGAGGACAACCCCGGACGGUGGGCGGGCGAGCUGUCAACUCCGUGCACUGCACAGGGGCCCGGAGGCCCUGACGAAAAUCCAUUUAAGAAAAUUAACCCCGCGGCUCUGCCCGCGCCGAGUUCGUGGGCGGCAGGGGCUGCGAAGUUCUUAAAAGGUGCGAGGGCAGAUUAAUGGAGUCCAUAUGCCUGGAAUUGAGCGGAUCUUUGUGCUGGGUGGGCUUAUCGUCAAACCUCUUAGGAUAACAAAGGGGGGGACAGUUCAAAGGACCGGCUCCUCCAGCCACUGGGCCCUCACGGGGGCUCUGCUCAGCCCUGCUGAACAAAUAUCGUCUCCCCCUGCCCUGGAGCCCAGGCCUUUGUCUGCACUUUUUUCUUUUCUUUUCCCUUUUACUCUUUGACAGCGAAGCAGGGCGUUUGUGGGAACCAUCCUGUAAAAGGGCUGAUUUAUAACUCCAUUUGGAAGUCAAACGAUCUUUG
rnacentral:lncRNA from 1 species